rnacentral:lncRNA from 1 species
UAUACACAUCACUUAUUUAGAAGCAAUAUCUAAUAAGCACUCAAUCUCAUCCAACCUAACACCUCACACAAAUUUCUUAAACGGGACACGUAAAUCAUCCAUCAAUAAUUCUUUUACAUUGUAUUUUAAUAUUAAAUAAACAUGAGUCCAACUUAAUAUUGUAGACUUCAUGUAAACCUUGUGUUAAUUAAAUACCAAAAAAAUUCCCUCAAUGAAGAUACCUCAUAGUUACCAAGUGUUAAAAUGAGAGAUCCUCCACUAAAAUUGGGCUAAGUGAACCAUUUAAGAUCAGCUCAUUAAAUACUCUAUCAAACAUGUUUGUUUAAUCAAACAAACAAGCUCAAACUUGAGAUAGUAAAUACCAAUAAAAAAAAGUUUGCUCUUUUGGAUGCAAAAGAUUAAAAAGAACAAAAAUGAGUGAUUGAUUGCAAAAAAAAAUUACCCCCUCUUACUUAUUGUCAAUGACAAAAUUGUCCUUUUAUUAUUAUUAUUAUUAUUAUUAUUAUUAUUAU